rnacentral:lncRNA from 1 species
UUUUAAGUUUAAUACAUUAUAUAAGUGUGUAAAUAGGCCCUCAAUAAAGAUGAAAAACUACGUUCUUUGGAUCAAUGAGAGGAAAACUGAGAGAAGAAAGUGGAUUUGCCAAACUAAACUUCAACAAAGAUCCCCAGUGAAUAAGAAGCUGUCAGAAUAUUUAAGACAUAUGGUGCAUAGGCCUCCCACCAAAGAAGUGACAGCAGGAAUGGAGAGAAAGAAGGACAUCAGAGGUAUUUAAAAGAAACAAUCGUCAGGACAUGGUGACUGGAUGAAGAAAUGACAAGACCCAGAAACAAUUACAAUGUCCAGCCAGAAAGGUCCGGUGGCACUUUGGUACAAUUGAAGACACUAGGAAAUGUAGAUGCGUAGGUAGAUUCCC